rnacentral:rRNA from 1 species
AUACGGAAGGUGCGAGCGUUAUCCGGAUUCAUUGGGUUUAAAGGGAGCGUAGGCGGAGCGCCAAGUCAGCUGUGCAAUCCCGCGGCUCAACCGUGGAACUGCAGUUGAAACUGCCGCCCUUGAGUGCACAUGAGGAUGGCGGAAUUCGUGGUGUAGCGGUGAAAUGCUUAGAUAUCACGAAGAACCCCGAUUGCGAAGGCAGCUGUCUGGGGUGCCACUGACGCUGAGGCUCGAAAGUGCGGGUAUCAAACAGGAUUAGAUACCCUGGUAGUCCGCACAGUAAACGAUGGACACUCGUGGUCGGCGACACACUGCCGGUCACCAAGCGAAAGCGAUAAGUGUCCCACCUGGGGAGUACGCCGGCAACGGUGAAACUCAAAUGAAUUGACGGGG